UACGUAGGGGGCUAGCGUUGUCCGGAUUUAUUGGGCGUAAAGAGCGUGUAGGCGGCCAGGUAGGUCUGCUGUGAAAACUCGAGGCUCAACCUCGAGACGUCGGCGGAAACCAUCUGGCUAGAGUCCGGAAGAGGAGAGUGGAAUUCCUGGUGUAGCGGUGAAAUGCGCCAGAUAUCGGAAGGAACGCCGGUGGCGAAAGCGAACGUGCUGGACCUCUUCUGACGCUGAGGCGCGAAAGCCCAGGGGAGCAAAACGGGG
rnacentral:rRNA from 1 species